UACGGAGGGUGCAAGCGUUAUCCGGAUUCACUGGGUUUAAAGGGUGCGUAGGUGGAGUGGUAAGUGAGUGGUGAAAUCUCCAAGCUUAACUUGGAAACUGCCGUUGAUACUAUCAUUCUUGAAUAUCGUGGAGGUAAGCGGAAUAUGUCAUGUAGCGGUGAAAUGCUUAGAUAUGACAUAGAACACCGAUUGCGAAGGCAGCUUGCUACACGAUCAUUGACACUGAGGCACGAAAGCGUGGGGAUCAAACAGG
rnacentral:rRNA from 1 species